rnacentral:lncRNA from 1 species
CUGGGCCUUUUGGUUAAGAUCAAGGAUUUGUUUUAAUUUGUUAAAUAUCUAUAUCUAAUACAUGGGUUUGGCCAGUCAUUGGCCCACAUGAUGUUAAUUUAUAUGUCCAGAGGGGAGCCCACCCAUCGGGGCUGAGGGGUGUAGCCCAGGCAUUGUACUAAAGUUCGGGCCUGCUAUGGAUUAGAACGUGUAAUGAACUUUUUAAUUUGAUGCGAUUGUAGUUGUAAGACUAUCAAGAAGGCAUAAUAGCCUGGAAUCCAUAAACCACUGUAAUUUCAAUGUAAUAGAAAAUUUUAAUUGGAGAUCAAAAGCCAUAAUAUCAUUUCCUUAAUUGGGGAGAUGAAGUCACUAAUUGUAUGAGUACCUUUGUGAUUGCCAACCUGUUUCAAACAAUUCGAGAGAAUGAAAUAUUUUCAUCAGUAAUUUAGCUUUGAGUUCCAAAUUCCAAUCACAGCUCGAUAC